GAAAACUCUAAUCUUUAAGUAUAUUUUUUAAAAAUCAAAAUAAUCAUCCAACUCCCAGUUAAGUUAACCAACAACAGCGUGGGUCCCACACCACUUGGGUCCAUUCAUCGAAACUCGAGAGAGACCCAAUCCAAUGCACCACGCCCCACGACAGCUAUAUAUACCAUCCAACGCCAUUCUACCUCUCUUCGUAAUUAAAGUUUUCCAAACUCAAACCUAAACAUUUGGCGUUACAUUGAUUCAUCAUUCUGAGUUUCAGACAUAACAAGAGAAGUUCUAGUUCAGAAAGCACGCACUUGUGGAAGUGAAGUUACGGUUUUACCCUUCUUCUGGUGGUGCCGGAGAGGAACAUGUUCGUAGGAAGAUCAUCAUCGACAUGGCGCGUUGUUUCGGCUUAGGUUCCGUUCUGGUUCUGGCGGCGCUCGCGGCGUCGAUGGUGGUGCUGCCGUUGAUGCUCCCGCCGCUCCCGCCGCCGCCGCUGGUUCUUCUCUUCUUCCCCGUCGGGAUCAUGGCGGCGCUCAUGUUGCUUGUGUUCUCGCCGUCGGAUCAAAACGGCGUCGUUUACGCCACCACGUAAAGAAGGUGGUGGGAAACCGGAUCGACCGGUGCCACAUUUUGGGGUUUCUUGAAGGUUCCGAUGGGAUUGCUUCGCUUGUUGGGGUUUUUUUUUUUUUUUUUUUUAAGUUACGGUGUUAAUAUGAAAAGAGAAUUAAUUGUAAAAGCAGAAAGUGAAGAAAAAAAAAAAAGAAUAGAAAGGAAGGAAGGAUUCAUUGUAUUGCGGCAUAGACACUGAAAUUUCGUUUUUGUUUCUUUAAUUAAUUAAUUAAUUAACACAUGCUUGCUUCUGAUUUUGUUUCUUCGGAAUUAAUUAAUUUUUUUUAAUAAAAAUAAGUUUAUAAUAAGUUUUGACCAAUUUUUUUUUUUCUGAUUUAACAUUCCAGCGACCAGGUGCGAGAACCAUAGCUGCCCCACUUGAUGUUGAUGUAGUAUAUUUUUGUAAAAAAAAGAGAUGAAUCGAACUCGUAUGUACUGCUUUAUUGGCAAUUUGUCAUGUUUAGGGAUUUUAAUAUUGGGCGAAAUGUAAUAAGAC
rnacentral:lncRNA from 1 species